ACCAGACUAUGCUGUUGGACAAAG
rnacentral:piRNA from 1 species